rnacentral:rRNA from 1 species
GACGAACGCUGGCGGCGUGCUUAACACAUGCAAGUCGAACGGAAAGGCCCUGCUUUUGUGGGGUGCUCGUGUGGCGAACGGGUGAGUGACACGUGAGUAACCUGCCCUUGUCUUUGGGGUAUAUUCAGGAAACUGGGGCUCAUAUCGGAUAUGAGCUCCUGCUCCACAGUGUGCGUUGGAAAGUUUCGGCGGUUCGGGCUGGACUCGCGGCUUAUCCGCUUGUUGGUGGGGUAGUGGCUUACCACGUGUUUGACGGAUAGCCGGCAUGGGAGCGGUGCCGGGGACAAUGGGACUGCGAGACGGCCCAGACGCCAACGGGAGGCAGCAGGGGGGAAUAUUGCGCAAUGGGCGGAAGUCAGAGGCAGCAGCGCUGCGUGCGGGAUGACGGGCUUCGGGUGGUAAACCGCUGUGGCCUGAAACGAAGCGGGAGUGACGGUAAUGGGUAAAGAAGCACCGGCUAACUACGUG